rnacentral:rRNA from 1 species
UACAGAGGGUGCGAGCGUUAAUCGGAAUUACUGGGCGUAAAGGGUGCGUAGGUAGUUGUAUGCGUUGGAUGUGAAAUCCCCGGGCUUAACCUGGGAAUGGCAUUUAAUACGGUAGAGCUAGAGUCGUGGAGAGGGAAGUGGAAUUUCCGGUGUAGCGGUGAAAUGCGUAGAUAUCGGAAGGAACACCCGUGGCGAAGGCGGCUUCCUGGACACAGACUGACACUGAGGCACGAAAGCGUGGGUAGCAAACAGG